UGCAAGUCGAACGAUGAUCCGGUGCUUGCACCGGGGAUUAGUGGCGAACGGGUGAGUAACACGUGAGUAACCUGCCCUUAACUCUGGGAUAAGCCUGGGAAACUGGGUCUAAUACCGGAUAUGACUGAUCAUCGCAUGGUGGUUGGUGGAAAGCUUUUUGUGGUUUUGGAUGGACUCCCGGCCUAUCAGCUUGUUGGUGAGGUAAUGGCUUACCAAGGCGACCACCGGUAGCCGGCCUGAGAGGGUGACCGGCCACACUGGGACUGAAACACGGCCCAGACUCCUACGGGAGGCAGCAGUGGGGAAUAUUGCACAAUGGGCGCAAGCCUGAUGCAGCGACCCCGCGUGAGGGAUGACGGCCUUCGGGUUGUAAACCUCUUUCAGUAGGGAAGAAGCGAAAGUGACGGUACCUGCAGAAGAAGCGCCGGCUAACUACGUGCCAGCAGCCGCGGUAAUACGUAGGGCGCAAGCGUUAUCCGGAAUUAUUGGGCGUAAAGAGCUCGUAGGCGGUUUGUCGCGUCUGCCGUGAAAGUCCGGGGCUCAACUCCGGAUCUGCGGUGGGUACGGGCAGACUAGAGUGAUGUAGGGGAGACUGGAAUUCCUGGUGUAGCGGUGAAAUGCGCAGAUAUCAGGAGGAACACCGAUGGCGAAGGCAGGUCUCUGGGCAUUAACUGACGCUGAAGAA
rnacentral:rRNA from 2 species